rnacentral:rRNA from 1 species
CCGUAGCCCAAGAGAUCGGGAUAACACCUGGAAACAGAUGCUAAUACCGGAUAACAACAGAUGAUGCCUAUCAACUGUUUAAAAGAUGGUUCUGCUAUCACUCUUGGAUGGACCUGCGGUGCAUUAGCUAGUUGGUAGGGUAACGGCCUACCAAGGCGAUGAUGCAUAGCCGAGUUGAGAGACUGAUCGGCCACAUUGGGACUGAGACACGGCCCAACUCCUACGGGAGGCAGCAGAC